UUUUACAAUGAAGAGUUUGAUCCUGGCUCAGGAUGAACGCUAGCUACAGGCUUAACACAUGCAAGUCGAGGGGCAUCAGGAAGAAAGCUUGCUUUCUUUGCUGGCGACCGGCGCACGGGUGAGUAACACGUAUCCAACCUGCCCUUUACUCGGGGAUAGCCUUUCGAAAGAAAGAUUAAUACCCGAUAGCAUAAUGAUUCCGCAUGGUUUCAUUAUUAAAGGAUUCCGGUAAAGGAUGGGGAUGCGUUCCAUUAGGUUGUUGGUGAGGUAACGGCUCACCAAGCCUUCGAUGGAUAGGGGUUCUGAGAGGAAGGUCCCCCACAUUGGAACUGAGACACGGUCCAAACUCCUACGGGAGGCAGCAGUGAGGAAUAUUGGUCAAUGGGCGCUAGCCUGAACCAGCCAAGUAGCGUGAAGGAUGAAGGCUCUAUGGGUCGUAAACUUCUUUUAUAUAAGAAUAAAGUGCAGUAUGUAUACUGUUUUGUAUGUAUUAUAUGAAUAAGGAUCGGCUAACUCCGUGCCAGCAGCCGCGGUAAUACGGAGGAUCCGAGCGUUAUCCGGAUUUAUUGGGUUUAAAGGGAGCGUA
rnacentral:rRNA from 2 species